UAACAGCUGAAAGGAGGUGAUCCAGUGUCGAGAGAGAUGUUGGAGAAAGGUGUCGGAACAGUUCGGAGGAUGAUCUGCUAGGGCAGCCCUUGGCAGACCCAAAGUCCGAAUUGGCGAGAGUCUGAACCGACGCCCGCCUCCCGAGUUCUCGAAGGGCCGUCCCGAUUUGGGCGGCCCU
rnacentral:sRNA from 1 species